GACCCAGUAGCGAAUGGUACUGCGCCCGCGCCGUUUAAGUGCGCUUCCAAGUGCACUGUGGGAGGUCCUGGUUCGACUCCAGGCUGGGUCA